CUGCUCAACCAGUGGGAGGCAGAAAUACGGACAUAACAGGAGAGAAGGAGUCUGUGUGCUGAGGAGUCUGUGUCAGAGAGGAGUCCAUCUAGGAACCACCGACCCUGCACAUCUAUGGUCCAAGUCGACCUACGACCCCAGGUCUGAUCACCCCAGGCAGGAGCUAAGCAGAUCGAGUGAGU